rnacentral:rRNA from 1 species
GAUGAACGCUGGCGGCGUGCUUAACACAUGCAAGUCGAACGAUGAAAGCGGGAGCUUGCUCCUGCUGGAUUAGUGGCGAACGAGUGAGUAACACGUGAGCAAUCUGCCCCGAACUCUGGGAUAAGCGUUGGAAACAACGUCUAAUACCGGAUACGACGCGCGAAGGCAUCUUCUGCGCGUGGAAAGAACUUCGGUUCGGGAUGAGCUCGCGGCCUAUCAGCUAGUUGGUGAGGUAACGGCCCACCAAGGCGACGACGGGUAGCCGGCCUGAGAGGGUGACCGGCCACACUGGGACUGGGACACGGCCCAGACUCCUACGGGAGGCAGCAGUGGGGAAUAUUGCACAAUGGGCGCAAGCCUGAUGCAGCAACGCCGCGUGAGGGACGACGGCCUUCGGGUUGUAAACCUCUUUUAGUAGGGAAGAAGCGAAAGUGACGGUACCUGCAGAAAAAGCACCGGCUAACUACGUGCCAGCCGCCGCCGUAAUAC